UUUAUUUUCUAGGUACUUCAAAUACUCUAGAUCAACUCUAACGGAGACGAUCGUCGAUUCGAAAGUCCGAACAUCGAAAACAACUUGGAAGCACGGAGGGCUCCGUGCUUCCAGAAGCAUACCAGCCCACUCUCUCUCUCUCUCUCUCUCUCUCUAUAUAUAUAUAUAUAUAUAUAUAUAUAGUCCGGCUAUAUUCUUAUGUGUACCAUCUACUUCGUACUUAUAAAUUACUUUCGAUGAUAGAGUUAUCGAAUCGACGAUCCAUACCGUUAAAUAUUAUCUAGAGCAUUUAAAACUUCUAGAAAUUAAAUUUUAUAAAUUUUCGAUAUCAUUUACCCUACGAUCAAAAGCUCAUAAAAUUGACAAUUUUUAACGGCCGGUAUGAAAUAUUUGCUAGUUUAAUGGUGUAAAAGAAUCGGAAUAUGUUGAAUUUUUGAUAAAAAAUUCUAUUCACUAUCUAAAUAAAGAUCAAUUACUCUGAUCUUAAAUUGAAAGAUCCGAUCAUCCAUUUUUAGGAUGUUGUUCGAUUUUGACUGUUCAUUUUAUACCCGCUUGAUUAACUUUAUAAUGAUUUCGAAAAAUUAUGAAAUUUAUUUUCUAAAAGUUUCAAAUGCUCUAGAUUAUGUUUAAUGGUGUGAAUCGUCGAUUCGAAAACCCUAACAUCGAAAAUAACUUAUGAGUACGAAGGGCUCUAUACUCAUAAUAGUAUAGUAACCAUACUAUAUAUAUAUAAUUUUGCUAGAAUACUAUCGGUAAUAAACGGCUCGGUUUACUACCGAUUUGUUUUCGAUGAUAGAGCUUCCAAAUUGAUGAUCGGCACCGUUAAACAUGAUCUAAACUAUUUAAACUAUCUGAAAAUUAAAUUUCACACAUUUUCGAUAUUGUUCUCUUGUCCAUCAAGUGAACAGAAAAAUAAAUGGCUGGAAAUGAAUAUCCUUCAAAAAGUGAUGAUACAAUUUUUAUAUUUGAGAUCUAGAGUCUAAAUCUUAUUUUAAAUAGUUUAAAGAAUUUUCAAGCAAAAAUUUAGUUGAUUUGAACUCUUCUAUACCGUUAAAUGAGCAAACGCACCAUAUCGGCCAUUAAAAUUAUAGAUUUUGUGACCCUUUGAUCGUUCAGUUAGUGAUG
rnacentral:lncRNA from 1 species